rnacentral:rRNA from 1 species
UACGUAGGGGGCAAGCGUUGUCCGGAUUUAUUGGGCGUAAAGAGCGUGUUGGCGGCCUGAAAGGUCAGCUGUGAAAACUCGAGGCUCAACCUCGAGACGUCGGUUGAAACCAUCUGGCUAGAGUCCGGAAGAGGAGAGUGGAAUUCCCGGUGUAGCGGUGAAAUGCGCAGAUAUCGGGAAGAACACCCGUGGCGAAGGCGGCUCUCUGGGACGGUACUGACGCUGAGACGCGAAAGCGUGGGGAGCGAACAGG